GAUGAACGCUGGCGGCGUGCUUAACACAUGCAAGUCGAACGAAGCAUUUAAGACAGAUUUUUUCGGAAUGAAGUUUUUUAUGACUGAGUGGCGGACGGGUGAGUAACGCGUGGGUAACCUGCCUCACACAGGGGGAUAGCAGUUGGAAACGACUGGUAAUACCGCAUAAGCGCACAGCUUCGCAUGAAGCGGUGUGAAAAACUCCGGUGGUGUGAGAUGGACCCGCGUCUGAUUAGGUAGUUGGUGAGGUAACGGCCCACCAAGCCGACGAUCAGUAGCCGACCUGAGAGGGUGACCGGCCACAUUGGGACUGAGACACGGCCCAGACUCCUACGGGAGGCAGCAGUGGGGAAUAUUGCACAAUGGAGGAAACUCUGAUGCAGCGACGCCGCGUGAGUGAAGAAGUAUUUCGGUAUGUAAGCUCUAUCAGCAGGGAAGACAGUGAUGGUACCUGACUAAGAAGCUCCGGCUAAAUACGUGCCAGCAGCCGCAGUAACAC
rnacentral:rRNA from 1 species